rnacentral:rRNA from 1 species
UACAGAGGUCUCAAGCGUUGUUCGGAUUCAUUGGGCGUAAAGGGUGUGUAGGUGGCGCCGUAAGUCGGGUGUGAAAUUUCGGAGCUUAACUCCGAAACUGCAUUCGAUACUGCGGUGCUUGAGGACUGGAGAGGAGACUGGAAUUCAUGGUGUGGCAGUGAAAUGCGUAGAGAUCAUGAGGAAGACCAGUGGCGAAGGCGGGUCUCUGGACAGUUCCUGACACUGAGACACGAAGGCCAGGGGAGCAAACAGG